GUUGGAGCAAUGCUUUUUGCCUUUUGGGCGUUUUUUUGCCAUUUGGUUGGCGAGUCCCCUCAAAAUUCGAAGCACCCAGGCCGCCGGAGGCGCCGACAGCAUGCCAGGCAAAUCUGAGGUCCAAGGUCUCACUGUCUGGGUAGAGGGAUCACCUACAAUCUCGCAGCGGCGUCAGCUCCAGCACCAAAUUCGCAGCCAAUUCUCCGGGCUACAAGCUGGAAAUGUAUGGAGAUGUAAACAGAUAUAACCAAUAUAAUCACAAUGACCACUGGAGUGCCCUUAGCCAUAGCUCCCUACCUACACCUGGAGGCACGAGUAAAAGAGGCAGAUGACUACUUCAAUAAUGUCUCAAGACAGUUUGUAAAACAUCCAAAGCUUAUGGUGCUCUUUCAAGUUGCUAUGCCAAGAAGUUGAUGAAGAAAACUGAGGAACUUAUGCAGAGAAUGACAGCAUCUUGUUGUAACACAAAAGUUAUCAUACAUGAAAAUGCUUAACCUCUAAUUUGAGUUGUGAUAGACUAAGAAACUUCGAGAAGUUUGUGAAAGAAAUGGAAACAAAAGGCAUUUUGUUGCAGCAACUUUGAGUACUACUUCUUGUUGAAAGCAUAUGCUGCUGAUUAUUAUACUAAAGCCACAGGAAAAGUCUUGAAGAAAAUCGAGAUGGAGGCUCUAGUUCAUGCAGGAUCCAACAUUUCUUUUUCAUGGCAGCAAAGGAAUGCUUAAAAGCUAGCCUGGCAAAAAAGUCUUCUGAGAUACUGAACAAGGCAGAGACGCUCAAGGGGGGAGCAGAGUGUGCGGUAUACGUUCAUGAACUUCUCCUUGAUAUGAAUUCGCACUCGACGAACAAGAACUAGAAUUCAGUCGUCAACUCUGGCAUCUGUGCAACAAGAGGGGCAAUGUAAGCAACUCAGAGCAUCAUGACAUGAUACGAUUUUCAAUCAGUUGGGAUGACAUUCGAGGAACUGAAAGGAUUUUCCAGGAAGGGGAAUCUCUGAAAACCCAUGGCUUAUGACUUGGAAGUUUUUGAGGACUUGUUUAAUGCUUAUGCUGAAAUGAGAUUGCUGGGACAGGCAGAAGCAGUGGUACGAAGCUGUGGCGAGUGGAAUGAAGGUUCCUGCAGAGGCAUGGGACCAACUAGCAUAUCUAUACUACAAAGAUAAUCAGAUGAAGAAGCCUGUUGAUGCAAUGACGAAGGCCUUUCUAUUGUGAAGGCAUUUGUUGGACAUUAAACCGCAUAACAUAUAUUGCAUGUUUUGAGUAUUUAAUAGAAAAUGGAGAUGCAGAAAUUUACUGAUAUUGAUGGGGAACGAUUUCAUAAUUGCCAAGGAAUUGGGUAGAUUUAAAAUUGUUACCUUAGUCCUGAAAAAGGAAAUAAAAGACUAGCUCUCUGUUUUUGUGCUUGUAUUUUUAUUCUAUUUUGGUUUUCAGACA